GCCUGGACAGGUCAGUUGGCUAGAGCUUGGUGCUGAUAAUGCCAGGGUUGCAGGUUCAAUCCCUCUAUGGGGCA